GACGUAGGUGGCGAACGUUAUCCGGAAUUAUUGGGCGUAAAGGAUGCGUAGAUGGUGUAGUAAGUUAUCGGUGGUAAAUCGAGGCUCAACCUCGUGGAAGUCGGUAAUACUGUUAUGCUAGAGGAUAGGAGAGGUUAACGGAACUCCCUGUGGAGCGGUGAAAUGCGUAGAUAUAGGGAAGAACACCAAUAAAGGCGAAGGCAGUUAACUAUUCUAUUCCUGACAUUGAGGCAUGAAAGCGUGGGGAGCAAAAUGG
rnacentral:rRNA from 1 species